rnacentral:lncRNA from 1 species
AUGACCCUGAGUCGACUUCGAAGAGGACGCUUGUUCACAAAGUAGCUGAAACAAGAAGGCAGGGCUGGCCUUGUUCCGCUUCAGCUGGGAACAAGCGUGAUGGGCACCUCACGCGUCCCCGCUCUGCGCAGGUCAGCGGCUGAUCGCAGAAGCCGUGAUCUGGAGGCCACAAGUAAGUGUCAGCAAGUCGGUGAAUUUGCAAAUACAGGAUCCAAGAAAAAUGCGGACCAACUGUGUCUAUAUGAAGACCCUAAAAAGCUCACCCCCGUUGAAAGGGACAGGUGACACAAUCUAGAACCGAUUUCGCAAGCGCCUUUGGAACUGGUCCUGUUUCAGGAGAAAAAGAUGCAUCUGAGCCACAGAAUCACUGCUUUAUUUGUCUCCACCACAGAAAUCACCAUCGGACUUACCACUUGUUUUACUUGUUCAUUCAUCAUCUCUCCCCACACAAACUAAGAGGAGGGGAUUUUUAUCACUUUUUUUAAUCCCCCAUUCCUAGAAGACCUAGCACAUACCAGGCUCUCAGUAAAUAUUUGUCGAUCGAAUGAAUGAGUCAUGUCGGAUACCAGCAGUAGUAAUAAUGAGAAUCAACGCUUUUGCAACACUCACCGCCCUGGGUGCUUUAUCCGUGUUCCCUCACUGACAUCCCACAGCCGUCACAGGUGGGCACUGUUAUGCCCAUUUCAUAGGUGAAGGCACCAAGGCACAGAGAGAUGAUGCAAUUUAAUUACGGUCAACCAGCUAGCAAGAGAUGGAGCUGCCAUAAAGCCCAGCUUUUCUGACUCCAUAGCUACCAUACUGAUGCUUCUCGAACCAUCUGUGAUGAAGGACUGGUUGGUUUUUAUUUUUUCUUGGUCCAUCACAGACUGACAAUAGAAAAGUGAAAUGGGGAAAAAAUGAUAAAACACCAUAUGUGCUUGGAUGUCACAGCAACAUCAAAGUUUUUAAACACUGUCAGUGUUUGUCCUUCUCUCGCCACAGCUGGUGGAAACAGUUCAGUCCAGAUGCACCCUGCGCAGCUCUGCACCAAAAGAAUGGAAUGUUCCAGAGCCCCAGGUGGUCUGGGGCCCGGUGGUGAGGCUCCAGGAGGAGAGCUCCUAAGCCCUUCUACCUGCAGGGAACUGGGAAAAUGUCACAAAUCAGCUUUCCUUCCUUUUACCCUCUACAGCUCUGGGAGGUGAGAGGAGGGCAGAAACCUCCCCAGUUCAUGCGUCUCUCCCCAGCACAGAGUUAGGCUCCCUGAAGGAUUUGUUGAAUGAAUGCCGAAGAAAACAGAAACCCAGAUUAAUCAAACAGCUUACUUAAAGCCAAAAUCGAGAGAGUGAAUAAGAUAACCGUUGAGGGAAGCCAGAUGGGUGUGAAGGAUUAUGAUAACAACCCAACGCCAGGGGGCGGAGGAGUCAAAUGGUGACCAGGGUGAGCAGAGAGGCUGCAGAGACAGGUACUGCGUUAAAAACAGGAGAUCAAGCAAACGUGAGGAGUCUUGAGCCAGACACUCACUAGGCAGCUGACAGUUUAGCUCGUUUCCAUUUCCUCUUCCUCCUUUAGGACCAGCUCGCUACUCCUUUCCACGGAAUCUGAGGAGCUGAGAUUCCUGGCCAUGGAGAGUUGUCACUUCCUGGGCUCACUCAGAGGUGAGGUGACGUUCCAUGCUCACUGUCAGUUUUGAAACAAGCAGUGUCACUGUGCUGCGGGUGUGACUUGGCCCGUCACAGCCCUCCUGCGUUAGGAAACAUGGUUUCUGAGCCAUCACUGUCGGGCUGCCUGAUGGCGAGGUGCCCAUCUGAGCGUGUCCCCUGUUGACAGCGCUUGACAAGCGUCGUGCCGGUCUUGCUUUUAGAUGCUGCACAGCAGGAGCUCUGGUCUGCAUAACGCGGCACGAUGAAGCGGAAAGAGUAUGGACAAGGGGGCAGAAAGCUGGGCUCUGCCACCCGCCAGCUAGGGGACCUUGAGCAAGUCGGCUUGCCCUUGCCAGUACGUAAACCAUCUCGUUGGGACAGUGCAACAAGAUGGUGCCUGGGA